AUUGAACGCUGGCGGCAGGCUUAACACAUGCAAGUCGAGCGGGGUGAUGGUGCUUGCACUAUCACCUAGGGGCGGACGGGUGAGUAAUGCUUAGUCAGCUGCCUAUUAGUGGGGGACAACAUCGAGAAAGGGAUGCUAAUACCGCAUACGUCCUCCGGGAGAAAGCAGGGGAUCACUUGUGACGUUGCGCUAAUAGAUGAGCCUAAGUCGGAUUAGCUAGUUGGUGGGGUAAAGGCCUACCAAGGCGACGAUAUGUAGCGGGUCUGAGAGGAAGAUGCGCCAGACUGGGACUGAGACACGGCCCAGACUCCUAGAGGAGGCAGCAGUGGGGAAUAUGGGACAAUGGGGGGAACCCUUAUCCAGCCAUGCGGCGUGUGUGAAGAAGGCCUUAUGGUUGUAAAGCACUUUAAGCGAGGAGGAGGCUCCUUUGGUUAAUACCCAAGAUGAGUGGACGUUACUCGCAGAAUAAGCACCGGCUAACUAUGUGCCAGCCGCCGCGGUAA
rnacentral:rRNA from 1 species